AAGAAAGGAAGAAAAUGAGAAAGAGGAGAGGAAGUUUAGAUGAGUAGAGAGAAGAAACAAAAAGGAGGAGACAAAAAAGGAUGGAUGAGGAGGUGAAAUAGGAGGAUUUCAUUACCUCCUUACUCAUCCCUCUUUCCUUAUCUCUUGCUCCCUCUUCUCCUAUUUCC